AAUUCUGCAUCCCCUACGGAACUUAUUCUCAAUUAACACAUUUUUAUUUAAGUAAUUUCUGCAUCCGCUACUGAACGUAUCCUCGGUAAACACAUUUUGUUUAAGUAAUUCUGCAUCCGCUACGGAACUUAUUCUCGGAAACUCAUUUUAAGUAAUUUCUGCAUCCGCUACUGAACGUAUCCUCAGUAAACACAUUUUGUUUAAAAGAUUUCUUUGUCUGCUCCGGAACUUAUCCUCGGUAAACACAUUUUGUUUAAGUAAUUCUGCAUCCGCUACGGAACUUAUUCUCGGAAAACACAUUUUGUUUAAGUAAUUUCUGCAUCCGCUACGGAACUUAUUCUCGGAAAACUCAUUUUAAGUAAUUUCUGCGUCCGCUACGGAACUUAUUCUCAAUUAACACAUUUUGUUUAAGUAAUUUCUGCAUCCGCUACUGAACGUAUCCUCGGUAAACACAUUUUGUUUAAAAGAUUUCUUUGUCUGCUCCGGAACUUAUCCUCGGUAAACACAUUUUGUUUAAGUAAUUCUGCAUCCGCUACGGAACUUAUUCUCGGAAACUCAUUUUAAGUAAUUUCUGCGUCCACUAAGGAACUUAUUCUCAAUUAAUACAUUUUGUUUAAAAGAUUUCUUUGUCUGCUCCGGAACUUAUCCUCGGUAAACACAUUUUGUUUAAGUAAUUCUGCAUCCGCUAUGGAACUUAUUCUCGGAAAACACAUUUUAAGUAAUUUCUGCAUCCGCUACGGAACUUAUUCUCGGAAAACACAUUUUAAGUAAUUUCUGCGUCCGCUACGGAACUUAUUCUAAAUUAACACAUUUUGUUUAAGUAAUUUCUGCAUCCACUACUGAACAUAUCCUCGGUAAACACAUUUUGUUUAAGCGAUUUCUGUCUGAUUCGGAACUUAUCCUCGGUCAAACACAUUUUAUUUAAGUAAUUUCAAAUCUGCUAUGGAGCUUAUUAUCGGUAAACACAUUUCGUUAAGUAUUUCUGCAUCCGCUACGGGACUUAUUCUCGAAAACACAUUUUAAGUAAUUUGUGCAUCCGCUACUGAAUGUAUCCUCGGUAAACACAUUUUGUUUUAGCGAUUUCUCUGUCUGCUCCGGAGCUUAUCCUCGGUAUUAUUGCUGUGUCCGCUUUAGAAUUUAUCAUCGGUCAACACAUUUUGCUUAAGUACUUAAGCAUAGGCAGUAAGUAAAAUUAUGUCCAGAAUCUUUAACAUUCAGAAGUCAUAACACAUGGUUAUAUUAUUGGUCAAAUGGUAAUUUGCAAACUGAAAGUCUAGAAAAUUGGAAUCUUUUCCAAUUUGGGAGAUGUUGAAGAUCUGUUAGGGAAGUAUAAUGUGUCUAAAUGGUAUUUAUGGAGGAAAUGGAAAAACAACAGGUAUUAUUUAUUUUCUUGGUUUUGUCUUGUUUCUCUACAGUAAUUUAAAAUAUCUUUACUUAUUUGUUAAAUUAAAUUUUUUUCUUAAAAUGUUUCAAAUUGGUAAAUUAAUUUUUAGGAUGCAUCCCACAACUGUUGAUCGAGGCUCACUGGCGACCCCAUUGAAGGAUUCCGGUGCUGAUAUAUCCGCAAAAUGGGAAUUCGUUUUGGAAGGAUUUCUCUUGAGACACUGCGCCGGGAGUGUUGAUAGAUUAUGGUUUUUUCAGAGUCAAGAAAGAUGGAAAGGGGAUUCUUUUUUUUUUCAUUAGAUCAACCGAGUGUCUGCCAUCCAGAAGUUUUUUCCAGAUUUAUUUCCCUUUGUUUCUUUGGUAGAAUAGCUGGAAGCUAGGCAAAACUUGCAGCUAGCAGGCGUUUUUCUUUAGGUAUCAUGCCCUGAUAUAUCCCUGGUCUGUUUAUCAAGACUACUAUCGAUGUAAUCCGAGGAGUCUGGCAACUUUAUAUCCGCAAGGAGGAAUCGUGUGGGAGUGAUUGUCUUCAAUUCUGAGUCCAGCAGCAUUGUAGUAUGACAGUUGUUCCUGAGUUAAGAGAGAUGGAAAUCAGUGGAUCAUAGUAUGGAAGUGGCCUGAGAAGAACAACCUGCAUUGACCGUUUACUGGAAUACAGCUUUUGUUUGAGCAGAUAUUUGUUCAGAAAUAUAAUAUAACAUGUCAAUAUUUUUACCUAGAUUUGUUUUUUGGUGCUUUGAAUUUUUGUUUCAGAUUGAAUACAUCACUGGCGUACACAGUUUGAAAACCGUGAGUGUUGACCAUUAAACAGCAUUUGGAAGCAGCUUAAUCAGCCUUAAGAGAGUUACCACCCUGCCUCAGACGGUGACGACAAUGCAACCUACAUUAAAGACUUGAACCGUUAUAAAUCUUUAUUUCUUUGUAUUCUGAUCCAGGGAAGAUACCUCUUGCACAGAAAGUACAGAUCUUGCUGUAGUAUGAUUAAUAGAGGUGCCUUUCACCAACAAAAAG